rnacentral:rRNA from 1 species
AUUCCGGUUGAUCCUGCCGGAGGCCAUUGCUAUUGGGAUCCGAUUUAGCCAUGCUAGUUGUACGAGUUYAGACUCGUAGCGAAUAGCUCAGUAACACGUGGCCAAACUACCCUUCGGACCACGAUACCCUCGGGAAACUGAGGUUAAUAGUGKAUCMCACACUCAUACUGGAAUGUCGAGUGUGUCCAACGCUCCGGCGCCGAAGGAUGUGGCUGCGGCCGAUUAGGUAGACGGUGGGGUAACGGCCCACCGUGCCAAUAAUCGGUACGGGUCAUGAGAGUGAGAACCCGGAGACGGAAUCUGAGACAAGAUUCCGGGCCCUACGGGGCGCAGCAGGCGCGAAACCUUUACACUGCACGCCAGUGCGAUAAGGGGAUCCCAAGUGCGUAGGCAUAGAGCCUACGCUUUUGUUCACCCUAGGGAGGUGACCGAAUAAGGGCUGGGCAAGACCGGUGCCAGCCGCCGCGGUAAUACCGGCAGCCCGAGUGAUGGCCGAUCUUAUUGGGCCUAAAGCGUCCGUAGCU